UCUCUCAAAAAUAAAUAAAACAUUAAAAAAAUAAUAAUAAAAUGAACUUGGUCAUUUUAUAUUUUCCUUCACUCUCUACCUCUAUAGAGACGAUUCGAGUUCCAGGGCUUGAUGUGGUGGUGACAGCUGGUCCUCCAUCAUGGGCUCACCCAGCUCGCUCCUGAGAUGUGCUGUUUCCCAUGUGGUCUUGUUAUCACAUCUGUCUUCCAGGCAUGCAUCCUUGACGUCCAUAUCUUACGAUGGUCUCUGGUCCCUUGCCCACACACUCUAUACCCUCAUUGUCAUGACCACAGGCUAUUAGUGCUGGACAAAAAUUGAAAGGUUACCUUAGGCUGUUUCUGCCUAAGCCUACUCUUUGGUUCACAGGGUUCCAGUAGUAAGUGGGGCAUAAAACCUGUCCACUCUUGGAGUCCCAUAAUGUAUAUGGAAUUCUUUCGUUCAUGAGCAUGAAAGAGGCAACGAGGUGCAAAGACCAGAUUAAGAGGACUACCAGAAUCCUUUAAAUCACACACCAUGGCUUGCGUUAUAUUUCUACCUGACAAGGCUGUUCUAGAUGGCGGUGCAAACAGAAGUGAAGAUUGCGACUACUGUAGCAAGUUUUGUCUGUGUGUGGGAGGUCAGCUUGGGAUGAGGCUGCAAGUGAAGAAGGCAGAGCAGAGAGAGAAUGAAAUUGGCUGCUUGAUAACAUCACUGGACCACUGGUCCACCAACCAGGAACCAUCCAACCAUAACGCCCUCACAGACUUUCCAUCCCCUCCUCCUCAGCCCUACAAUCAACACUUCCCUUCCACUUGGAGACCGCCUGUGGUAAUGUUUAUUCUUCCCAACUGAGGCCAACAUUCUAUUCCGGAAUGUGUAACUCAACUUGUGUUGAAGUUAAAAAGUACAACAAUCAUUACAUCAUCCUGUGAGCAACGUCCAGGAUGUGUUUGCUUGCGAGACAGAGCAGCAGAGAGGGGGGACUUUCCACUUCCUUCUUUUGGCACCUUCUAGAUCUCACAGUCCCUCUGCUCAUCUUUAAGACUUUGGAGUAUUUGGUCCCUCUCUUCAGACGGCUGUUGCCAGCUCAUUCGCACAGCAUAUAGCUUCCAUCUCCCUGCACAUGAAGCCCUGUGGCUUCCCUUGUCAUUCUGCACUUCGUGGCCCUUUUGACCCCUUCGGCUCUGGUCUGUUCUGCAACUUCCACUGUGCAGGGUUCCUUCCAAUGCUGUUGGACUGAGCAAGUUCAUGAUCGGCACCAGCAGCUCAAGCUGCUCUGUAAGCCUCCUGUGACUGCUCUCUCCUUCCGUUCCAACGGCCUUAAAGUGGUGUCUGCCUGCCCCUCAGCAGAGUCUAGGAGGCUUUAGAAAACUGUAGACAAUUUUUCAAAAUUAGAAUAAAGCUUUGCCAAUGACAAUACAGAAAUCCCAUAGGCGUAAGGUGAGAAUGUCACAAUAACAGAAACAGCAUGUGGCUGAAAGCAAAGCCCACGGGAGCAGCCUUGUGCUCUUACUUCAAAGCUGGCCAAGCCUGGCAAGCUCCCGCGUCCCCAAACAUAAUGCAAAAUUUUCUGUGUCUCCAGUAUCGUAUUGUGCACCAGACUAACGUUGACCCAGUUUACCUUUAUUUCUAGGGUGGCUUUUGUUAUGGGGGUGAGGGCAGGGAUGAAUCACAGAUCUGAAAUAAGGAUAUUCUAGGAUAUUUUCUAUGUAAUUACAUACUAUUCUUACUUGAAAAAUUUAAAUUGCUUUUUAACAAUUUAGAGGUUAUUUCAUUUAUGAAUAGAUUUAAGAUUAUUCAAAGACUUUAUAAAGACUCUAUGACUGAAACAGAAGCUAUAUUAGAAGUUAGAAGUGGGAUUUUGCCAGUGCUUGAUUGCAUUAUGGCCAGUGGCAUAGGACUUCCUCAAGCCGGUGGCUCACACCUCCAAGGGGUCCAAUGCUGGGAAGAAAAGUCAAAUGGGAAACAAAGCAGGACUUGGUAAUCGUCGGCCAAGUCCUCCAUACUCCCGAAUGUGGCUCGCAUUGGUGGACGUGGGCUGGAGAACGUGGCUGCGGCCAGGAAGACACAGUGCGACUGUCUCUCCUCUGCCCGCUUGCCUCUAAGAUGGCCUCCACACAGCAGCCUCAAGCUAACAGACCCGCCCCAUUGCAGGGAGAGAGGAACAGGACAGAGAGACUUGGCCAGGCUUGACCACUCAGGGAAACUGAACUUGACCCUUUCUUCUGCGUAUUAUCUCAGCAGGCAGGAGGCAGAAAGGGCCUUGCGCUGCCUGGAAGAAGCUGCUGCAGUGUGCUCACCACAGGAGAGCGGAAACUGUGAGGGGAGCGCCAUGGAAAGUGUGAGGGGAGCGCCAUGACGCUGCUGACCCUUAAGGUGUAAAUGACAGCUGCUAAAAUGCCUCAUGUUGAAUCAUCAAUUUCCCCUCCCUUUGCAUAAAGCAGAGCUGGGGAGGAACACACAGUGGGGUGAGUUGGGGGAGUCUCCUCUCUGAAAGGCAAUACUUCCCAUAGAACCUCAAACCUCAUAGUAAACUAGCAGCUGUUUGCUACUUGUUUGACUGUGGAAUGAGCAUCUUUGUUCUUAUUUAUUAUGGAGUUACCAACUUGUACCUUCAUGCAAUGCUUCAUUGAGCAUUUGUAAUUAAAAAAUUUUUUUUUAA